rnacentral:rRNA from 1 species
GACGAACGCUGGCGGCGUGCCUAAUACAUGCAAGUAGAACGCUGAAGGAGGAGCUUGCUUCUCUGGAUGAGUUGCGAACGGGUGAGUAACGCGUAGGUAACCUGCCUGGUAGCGGGGGAUAACUAUUGGAAACGAUAGCUAAUACCGCAUAAUAGUAGAUGUUGCAUGACAUUUGCUUAAAAGGUGCAAUUGCAUCACUACCAGAUGGACCUGCGUUGUAUUAGCUAGGUGGUGAGGUAACGGCUCACCAAGGCAAAGAUACAUAGCCGACCUGAGAGGGUGAUCGGCCACCCUGGGACUGGGACCCGGCCCAGACUCCUACGGGAGGCAGCAGUAGGGAAUCUUCGGCAAUGGACGGAAGUCUGACCGAGCACCGCCGCGUGAGUGAAGAAGGUUUUCGGAUCGUAAAGCUCUGUUGUAAGAGAAGAACGAGUGUGAGAGUGGAAAGUUCACACUGUGACGGUAUCUUACCAGAAAGAGACGGCUAACUACGUG